GGGACUAUACUUUCAGGAUCAUUUCUAUAGUAUCCAACUAGAGAAAUGCACUCGAAAGUGAUCGGGCCCUGUUUUUGCCACAUGGGUACUAGUGCUGCCCUGUUUUUGCCACGUGGU